AAACCAACAGGGAUUGCCUCAGUAGCGGCGAGUGAAGCGGCAAGAGCUCAGAUUUGAAAUCUCACCUAGUGUGCGAGUUGUAAAUUGCAGGUUGGAGUCUCGGGUUAGACGUGUGUGCAAGUCCCUUGGAACAGGGUGCCACUGAGGGUGAGAGCCCCGUAGCGUGCAUGUCGACACCUGUGAGGCCCUUCUGACGAGUCGAGUUGUUUGGGAAUGCAGCUCUAAGUGGGUGGUAAAUUCCAUCUAAGGCUAAAUAUUGGCGAGAGACCGAUAGCGAACAAGUACUGUGAAGGAAAGAUGAAAAGCACUUUGAAAAGAGAGUGAAACAGCACGUGAAAUUGUUGAAAGGGAAGGGUAUUGGGCUCGACAUGGGAUUUACGCAUCGUUGCCUCUCGUGGGCGCGCUCUGGGUUUUUCCUGGGCCAGCAUCGGUUUUCGUUGCAGGAUAAGGACAAUUGGAAUGUGGCUCCUCGGAGUGUUAUAGCCUUUUGUAG
rnacentral:rRNA from 1 species